UAAUGUAUGGGGAUCUGCCCGAUAGAGGGGGAUAACUACUGGAAACGGUGGCUAAUACCGCAUAAUGUCUACGGACCAAAGCAGGGGCUCUUCGGACCUUGCACUAUCGGAUGAACCCAUAUGGGAUUAGCUAGUAGGUGGGGCAAAGGCUCACCUAGGCGACGACCUCUAGCUGGUCUGAGAGGAUGAUCAGCCACACUGGGACUGAGACACGGCCCAG
rnacentral:rRNA from 1 species